CCUACGGGAGGCAGCAGUGGGGAAUAUUGCACAAUGGGCGCAAGCCUGAUGCAGCCAUGCCGCGUGUAUGAAGAAGGCCUUCGGGUUGUAAAGUACUUUCAGCGGGGAGGCGUUACCCGCAGAAGAAGCACCGGCUAACUCCGUGCCAGCAGCCGCGGUAAUACGGAGGGUGCAAGCGUUAAUCGGAAUUACUGGGCGUAAAGCGCACGCAGGCGGUCUGUUAAGUCAGAUGUGAAAUCCCCGGGCUUAACCUGGGAACUGCAUUUGAAACUGGCAGGCUUGAGUCUUGUAGAGGGGGGUAGAAUUCCAGGUGUAGCGGUGAAAUGCGUAGAGAUCUGGAGGAAUACCGGUGGCGAAGGCGGCCCCCUGGACAAAACUGACGCUCAGGUGCGAAAGCGUGGGGAGCAAACAGGAUUAGAUACCCUUGUAGUC
rnacentral:rRNA from 1 species